rnacentral:tRNA from 1 species
GCGCCCGUAGCUCAGUGGAUAGAGCACUGGUCUCCGGAACCAGGUGCACAAGUUCGAUUCUUGCCGGGCGCACCA